rnacentral:rRNA from 1 species
UGGAUCAGACUUUGAUCCUGGCUCAGGAUGAACGCUAGCGGCAGGCUUAACACAUGCAAGUCGAGGGGCAGCGCGGGAUAGCAAUAUUCUGGCGGCGACCGGCGGAAGGGUGCGUAACGCGUGAGCGACAUGCCCGUUGCCCGGGGACAACCGGUGGAAACGCCGACUAAUCCCCGAUGGGAUACGAUGCUUCAUGGCAUUGUAUUGAAAGUUACGGCGGCGACGGAUUGGCUCGCGUCCGAUUAGCUGGUUGGCGGGGUGACGGCCCACCAAGGCUACGAUCGGUAGGGGUUCUGAGAGGAAGGCCCCCUACAAUGGGACUGAGACACGGCCCAUACUCCUACGGGAGGCAGCAGUGAGGAAUAUUGGUCAAUGGGCGGAAGCCUGAACCAGCCAUGCCGCGUGCGGGAAGGAGGCCCUAUGGGCUGUGAACCGCUUUUGCCUGGGGGCAAUAAGGGCGUCGCGCACGUCCGAUGAGAGUACCAGGCGAAUAAGCAUCGGCUAACUCCGUGCCAGCAGCCGCGGUAAUACGGGGGAUGCGAGCGUUAUCCGGAUUCAUUGGGUUUAAAGGGUGCGUAGGCUGUGCGUCAAGUCGGGGGUGAAAUUCCGGUGCUCAACACCGGGGCUGCCCUUGAUACUGUCGCGCUGGAGUGCGGAUGCCGCCGGAGGAAUGAGUGGUGUAGCGGUGAAAUGCUUAGAUAUCACUCAGAACACCGAUUGCGAAGGCAUCUGGCGAAUCCGUAACUGACGCUGAGGCACGAAAGCGUGGGGAUAGAACAGGAUUAGAUACCCUGGUAUUCCACGCCGUAAACGAUGAUGGCUAACCGCCCGCGACACACUGUCGGUGGCCAAGCGAAAGCGAUAAGCCAUCCACCUGGGGAGUACGUCGGCAACGAUGCAACUCAAAGGAAUUGACGGA